AAUGAACGCUGGCGGCGCGCCUAAUACAUGCAAGUCGAGCGAGAAGACGUAGCAAUACGUUUGUAAAGCGGCGAACGGGUGAGGAAUACAUGGGUAACCUACCCUCGAGUGGGGAAUAACUAGCCGAAAGGUUAGCUAAUACCGCGUACGCUCCUUGGACUUCGGUUCAGGGAGGAAAGCGAUACCGUGGGUAUCGCGCUCUUGGUUGGGCUCAUGUCCUAUCAGCUUGUUGGUGAGGUAACGGCUCACCAAGGCUUCGACGGGUAGCUGGUCUGAGAGGACGAUCAGCCACACUGGCACUGCGACACGGGCCAGACUCCUACGGGAGGCAGCAGUAAGGAAUAUUGCGCAAUGGGCGAAAGCCUGACGCAGCGACGCCGCG
rnacentral:rRNA from 1 species